GUGGGGAAUAUUGGGCAAUGGGCGAAAGCCUGACCCAGCAACGCCGCGUGAAGGAAGAAGGCUUUCGGGUUGUAAACUUCUUUGACGAGGGACGAAAAAAAUGACGGUACCUCGAAAACAAGCCACGGCUAACUACGUGCCAGCAGCCGCGGUAAUACGUAGGUGGCGAGCGUUGUCCGGAAUUACUGGGUGUAAAGGGCGAGUAGGCGGGAGUGCAAGUUAGAUGUGAAAUAUCCAGGCUUAACCUGGGGGCUGCAUUUAAAACUGCAAUUCUUGAGUGAUGGAGAGGCAGGCGGAAUUCCCGAUGUAGCGGUGAAAUGCGUAGAUAUCGGGAGGAACACCAGUGGCGAAGGCGGCCUGCUGGACAUUAACUGACGCUGAUGCGCGAAAGCGUGGGGAGCAAACAGGAUUAGAAACCCGGGUAGUCC
rnacentral:rRNA from 1 species